GACGAACGCUGGCGGCGUGCCUAAUACAUGCAAGUCGAGCGAAUCGAUGGGAGCUUGCUCCCUGAGAUUAGCGGCGGACGGGUGAGUAACACGUGGGUAACCUGCCUGUAAGACUGGGAUAACUUCGGGAAACCGGAGCUAAUACCGGAUACUUUCUUUUCUCGCAUGAGGGAAGAUGGAAAGAUGGUUCUGCUAUCACUUACAGAUGGACCCGCGGCGCAUUAGCUAGUUGGUGAGGUAACGGCUCACCAAGGCAACGAUGCGUAGCCGACCUGAGAGGGUGAUCGGCCACACUGGGACUGAGACACGGCCCAGACUCCUACGGGAGGCAGCAGUAGGGAAUCUUCCGCAAUGGACGAAAGUCUGACGGAGCAACGCCGCGUGAGCGAAGAAGGCCUUCGGGUCGUAAAGCUCCGUUGUUAGGGAAGAACAAGUACGAGAGUAACUGCUCGUACCUUGACGGUACCUAACCAGAAAGCCACGGCUAACUACGUGCCAGCAGCCGCCGUAACAC
rnacentral:rRNA from 1 species